CCUACGGGGGACAGCAGUGGGGAAUAUUGGGCAAUGGGCGCAAGCCUUACCCAGCAAUGCCGCGUGAGUGAAGAAGGUCUUCGGAUUGUAAAGCUCUUUGAUCAGGGACGAACAGAUGACGGUACCUGAAGAACAAGCUCCGGCUCACUACGAGCCAGCAGCCGCGGUAAAACGUAGGGGGCGAGCGUUGUCCGGGAUGACUGGGCGUAAAGGGUGCGUAGGCGGCAUAAUAAGUUAGAAGUGAAAUACCCAGGGCUUAACUCGGGUGCUGCUUCUGAGACUGUUGAGCUUGAGUGCGGGAGAGGUUAGUGGAAUUCCAGGUGUAGCGGUGGAAUGCGUAGAUAUUAGGAGGAACACCAGAGGCGAAGGCGAUUAACUGGACCGUAACUGACGCUGAGGCACGAAAGUGUGGGUAGCAAACAGGAUUAGAUACCCGAGUAGUC
rnacentral:rRNA from 1 species